rnacentral:rRNA from 1 species
UACGAAGGGGGCUAGCGUUGCUCGGAAUGACUGGGCGUAAAGGGCGCGUAGGCGGCGGUCACAGUCAGAUGUGAAAUUCCUGGGCUUAACCUGGGGGCUGCAUUUGAUACGUGGUUGCUUGAGUGGGGAAGAGGGUCGUGGAAUUCCCAGUGUAGAGGUGAAAUUCGUAGAGAUCGGCAGGAACACCCAGGGGGAAACCAGUCGACUGGGCAGCACCUGACGCUGAGGUGCGAGAGCGUGGGGAGCGAACCGG